AGGACGAACGCUGGCGGCGUGCUUAACACAUGCAAGUCGAGCGGUAAGGCCUUUCGGGGUACACGAGCGGCGAACGGGUGAGUAACACGUGGGUGAUCUGCCCUGCACUUCGGGAUAAGCCUGGGAAACUGGGUCUAAUACCGGAUAUGACCUCCUAUCGCAUGGUGGGUGGUGGAAAGAUUUAUCGGUGCAGGAUGGGCCCGCGGCCUAUCAGCUAGUUGGUGGGGUAAUGGCCCACCAAGGCGACGACGGGUA
rnacentral:rRNA from 1 species